rnacentral:rRNA from 1 species
AGAAGAAAACAAAAGUGAUUCCGUAAGUAGCGGCGAGCGAACGCGGAUUAGCCCAAACCAGAGUUGUUACGGCAAUUUUGGGGUUGUAGGACUGCGCUGUUGGAUGUUUGAUGAAUCAGAACAAGUUGGAAAGCUUGGCCAUAGACGGUGAUAGCCCGGUACGAGUAAAGAGAAUAAUCCAUAGCAGUAUCCUGAGUAGUG